rnacentral:lncRNA from 1 species
AGCUCCUUCAGCCAUGCGGCAAUGGUUGUUUUGGUGGCUGGAAUACAAGGAAAAAGGGGGCCAAAUUUUAUGGCAAUUUGUUAAAGUUAAUGGAAUGAAGUCAGGAGUUCACUGAGGUAAGUUUUCGGUCCCUUGAAUGUCCUCUCCUUCUCCUUGCUCCUCUCCUAGGUAGGGUCUGCCUUUAUGGGGUAAGGUGGAUUGUAUGACAUCAUAGUGUCAUCAGUGGGGACAGGAAGACGAGGUCCUCAAAUCCAUGCUGAAUCCUCCCAACAUCAUUGAGCUCUGCUGUGAACUGGCUGCUCUAGGCAGUGUCCUAGACUGAUGGCUUCUAAGAUACCUGCCACUGGAGUUUAUGGUCCUGGCCAUUCGUCUCUACAUUCAGUUUGGCCUUUGCUGAGUGUAUACUCAUGGUGCAGUUCAACAGAUGCUUCUCUCCUCUAUUUCCUGCAAAUUGGCAGCUGGAUCCAGAGGUUAAUUGGACUUCAGUUUGAUCUCACUGGCAAGACUACAGUUUCUGUGGGUCAGGAAUCCAAGAGUGGCUUACAUGGACGGUUCUGAAGUCAUCUGAAGGCUUGACUGGACUGGAAGAUUCACU